rnacentral:rRNA from 1 species
UGGGGAAUAUUGGACAAUGGGCGAAAGCCUGAUCCAGCAAUGCCGCGUGAGUGAUGAAGGCCUUAGGGUUGUAAAGCUCUUUUACCCGGGAUGAUAAUGACAGUACCGGGAGAAUAAGCCCCGGCUAACUACGUGCCAGCAGCCGCGGUAAUACGUAGGUGGCAAGCGUUGUCCGGAUUUAUUGGGUUUAAAGGGUGCGUAGGCGGUCUUGUAAGUCAGUUCUGAAAUAUCCCGGCUUAACCGGGAGGGUGGGAUUGAUACUGCAGGACUUGAGUGGAGUCGAGGUAGGCGGAAUUGACGGUGUAGCGGUGAAAUGCUUAGAUAUCGUCAAGAACACCGAUAGUGUAGACAGCUUACUAGUCUCAAACUGACGCUGAGGCACGAAAGUGUGGGGAUCAAA